rnacentral:tRNA from 1 species
GUUUAAAUAAUUUAAAUAAAAAUAUUAGUCUUGUAAACUAAAUUUAAGAAAAUUACUCUUUUUAAACU